GGCCGUCCUGUAACCGAUAACCCCCGUUAAACCUCACCCUCCCUUGUUAAUCCCGCCUAUAUACCGCCGUCGUCAGCCUACCCUGUGAAGGACUAGUAGUGAGCAAGAUUGGUAAAACCCAAAACGUCAGGUCGAGGUGUAGUAAAUGAGAGGGGAAGAGAUGGGCUACAUUUCCUGCAUCAGGAAAUACGAACAAUGAACUGAAAUAAGCAUUAGAAGGUGGAUUUAGCAGUAAGCAGAUAAACAGAGUGUUCUGCUGAAGUUAAUGGCAAUAAAGCACGUACAUAUCGCCCGUCACUCUCCCCGAGCCUAACGUAUUUAAAUAUACCUAAAAAACCACACCUGCAAAGGGGAGGCAAGUCGUAACACGGUAAGCGUACCGGAAGGUGUGCUUGGACAAAU
rnacentral:rRNA from 1 species